AUUGCACACAAUUAGAGCCGGACAACGUUAAUUGCUUUGUUCGGUGUCGAAGUGUGCUACAACAACGUGUGGAUUAUCUUUUGAAUAACUUUAAAUUUGUUAUUCAAUCAUUAUACACACUACACUUUUU
rnacentral:snoRNA from 1 species